UACAGAGGUGGCAAGCGUUGUUCGGAAUUACUGGGCGUAAAGGGCGCGUAGGCGGCCCUCCUUGUCGCGUGUGAAAGCCCCGGGCUCAACCUGGGAAUUGCGCGCGAAACGGGGGGGCUUGAGUUCGGGAGAGGAGCGUGGAAUUCCCAGUGUAGAGGUGAAAUUCGUAGAUAUUGGGAAGAACACCGGUGGCGAAGGCAGCCCCCUGGGCCAAUACUGACGCUCAUGCACGAAAGCGUGGGGAGCAAACAGG
rnacentral:rRNA from 1 species